UUAGUUUCUCUAACUGCAGUUUCUUUUACCGCUCCCCCGUACGUCAUCAGCCUGAUUUGAAUAAAUUCCCCUGAACUUUGGGGUGUAAUGGAAACGCAAAGCACACAGAU